rnacentral:sRNA from 1 species
GCUAUAGGGACUUGGCACAGCUGCUGCAUUAGCUUUUGCCAACACCCCACAUAUAGCCGCUCCUUCAACGACGAAGGGCCGAGCUUCCCGAGAGAACGGGACCAGGACAAAGGCGUCCUCGCUAGCUGACUAGCGGGGAUGCC